rnacentral:lncRNA from 1 species
CAUACUGCCCUCAGCAUCAAGCCACUACAAGUAGCUGUGCUAGCUGAACUGCUCCAUGAAAAAUAUUCUCUGUGCCAUUUCCAACCAGAGCAAUUUAGAAGCUAAAAAACACGAUGAAAAACUGUAGUGAAGGGAUUAAAAAAAUGGCACAAAAUGAAUGAAGUAAUAAUUACAGCAAAUGACCUUACGCAUCAAAUCUAUACCUCGUUGAACUGCCUUCAGCUUCUCAAGAGAAUAUGCACUGAAAUCAAAAUGCCCCAAAAACUAUAUACCUCAAUCUUGAGACCCAAUUUGUGGACCCAAACGUGUAAUGCAGAGUGCUACUAUUCUGACCUGUAACAAAUUUAAAAAACAAAACAAAAAAAUUCCCAGUGAAAUCACCAUAAGAACCAUUAAGAAACAUCCAAGUUUGCAUCAGAAGAGUGCAACUCAGAAGCAAAUAAACAUGUUGCAAAAAAUGAAAUAAAAAAUAUACUCUAGUCUGAAUAUUGUACUUGAAAUACAAAAUAUUUUGAAAACAGGUAAAUUAAAGAAAACAAGAUCCUAAACUAUGCCUGCACCCUGCGCUGAAUCCGGUUUCCAACAUAGUGACAUCAUAAUUUCUGGAUCAAAAGAAAUCCCCAUGCCUAACAAUGUAAUAGUCUUUUUUCAAGAAACAGCUCAAAAUCAAACAUACCAAUGAAGUUAGGAACUUUAAAUACAACGGCACCUUCCCCUAUCAACUAACACAAACAUGAUCCCACAAAUUAUACAAGUGAAUAAAAUUAUGGACACUGAAACAGAAUUUAACCAUUGCAAUUGGAAACAUUCCAUCAAAAUUAAAAUGUUACUACACAUNNNNNNNNNNNNNNNNNNNNNNNNNNNNNNNNNNNNNNNNNNCAAAAAACCAAAAAAAAAAAAAAAAAGGUUCCAUCUAUAUGAAGUGCAACUUGAAGGUUUGUGGCAAUCAUUUGAGAGUUACUACAAUCAUAUCUUCAAGUAUUCAACCCUAGCAUAUAUAAUAACACACUAUAAUAGAAAUGCCCUUAUUUUGUAAAACUUAAUUCCCAACUAGAGCUAAACAUGGCAGCAAAAUGAAAAGGGCGAAAAUUGUAGAGACAACCCACCAGCUGAAUCGUUCAAAGAUCUCAACUUUAUCAUAAAAAAUCCAAGCAAUUUCAAAAAUCUACAAAAUCAAAUCUAAUGCAACAAAAAGGGCUUCGGAAUUUGAGCUCUUAAGCGCGAUCAAAAAGCUAGGGUUUUUUGGGGACAAAUUGCAUAAUUAAAAAUUGGGGAUUUUGAAGCANNN